rnacentral:rRNA from 1 species
UACGUAGGGGGCUAGCGUUGUCCGGAAUCAUUGGGCGUAAAGCGCGUGUAGGCGGCCCGGUAAGUCCGCUGUGAAAGUCGGGGGCUCAACCCUCGGAUGCCGGUGGAUACUGUCGGGCUUGAGUACGGAAGAGGCGAGUGGAAUUCCUGGUGUAGCGGUGAAAUGCGUAGAUAUCAGGAGGAACACCCGAGGCGAAGGCGGCUCUCUGGGUCGUACCUGACGCUGAGGCGCGAAAGCGUGGGGAGCGAACGGG